AAAUGAACUGAGCAGUGACUAAAGCUGGGAAAGGAGGAGUUUUCUGGACAUAUACUCAUAGCCAUCUUGGAUUUUUCAGUUCCCAUCUGAAAGAGAUAACAAAGAGUGCCUGUAGCAGCUGAGAGGAAUCAGCUAGCAGGUUGAACAAGAUCCAGUGCUGGUAGCAGGAAAGCCUUCAUGAGCAGUUAAGAGAACUUGAAUCUGGACUGACCUGAUUUACUGCCUGUGUAUGGAUGCUCCCACCGGGAUCCCACAUCCAUACCAUGGAUGAUCUGUUGGGUGGAGGCACUGCUGCAGAUGCUGUAUACGGGGAGUGCCGCUUUUCUCAACAAUUCCUCCAACUUUCACACCAGAGACUUCUCAUGCAGGGAAACUGUUUACAGUGUCAAAGUGGGUGGUUGCCCCCAUGCAGCUUGUUCAGUUGUUAAACAACUGUAGCCGAGUUAUUUACUUACAGCAUUGUCAAGAGAGCCGAAAUACUAGACCCCAAGAACAAUAUACAGUACCGCAAGUGUUUUUAUACAAAGCAGCUGUUAGCCUCACAACACAAGAUACUACACAAACCUACAACCAGCCUACAGUGACUUAUAGAGGAACCAUAUUGCAGUUCUUUAUAGUCAUGAU